rnacentral:rRNA from 1 species
AACCUUACCAGGUCUUGACAUCCCGAUGUACUAUUUCUAGAGAUAGAAGUUACUUGGUACAUCGGUGACAGGUGGUGCAUGGUUGUCGUCAGCUCGUGUCGUGAGAUGUUGGGUUAAGUCCCGCAACGAGCGCAACCCCUAUUGUUAGUUGCCAUCAUUCAGUUGGGCACUCUAGCGAGACUGCCGGUAAUAAACCGGAGGAAGGUGGGGAUGACGUCAAAUCAUCAUGCCCCUUAUGACCUGGGCUACACACGUGCUACAAUGGUUGGUACAACGAGUUGCGAGUCGGUGACGGCGAGCUAAUCUCUUAAAGCCAAUCUCAGUUCGGAUUGUAGGCUGCAACUCGCCUACAUGAAGUCGGAAUCGCUAGUAAUCGCGGAUCAGCACGCCGCGGUGAAUACGUUCCCGGGCCUU